rnacentral:RNase_P_RNA from 1 species
GAAGCUGAUCAAGCAAUCGCUGCCUUGAGUAAUCAGGGGGGAGGAAAGUCCGGGCUCCAUAGAGCAGGAUGCCAGUUAAUGGCUGGCCGCCGUGAGGCGAGGAAUAGGGCCACAGAGACGAGUAAAUCCAUCGCAAGAUGGAUGGAUGUGAAACGCGGUAACCUCCAUCUGGAGCAAGACCAAAUAGGCAGGCGUUGAAGCUGCUCGCUGAGCCUGCGGGUAGGUUGCUUGAGCGUUUGGGUGACCAAACGCCUAGAGGAAUGAUUGCUCACGACAAAACCCGGCUUAUCGAUCAGCUUCACCU